UGGAUCCUCCAGGUGGUGGGAAAAAGCUUAACAGCCUGGUGCCAGUUACCCUGCGAUGGGAGAGGGGGCAGCCCCCAUAGAAGCACGGGCUUAUGGGACCCGGGUUCCUUCAGUGCUCACCCACGAAGAAGGGCUCCCAAACGGCCCCACUCGACGGCUCACCGGAGGAUGGUCCUGCGCAGUGGGUGUUUGUUGAACAGAUAAGAGACAACAAAACAGACUAAGAAGAGGCCUGUUCUAUGAACCGGGGAAAGUGAAGGAAUCACAAAGAGCGGCUCGCCUUAGGGCAAUCCUGGGGAAAAGAUGGAGAGGCAUGGAUUUUUCUUGGAUGUGUGCCUCAUCCUGGGGCUCAUCCCUCUGAGCAUCAAAUAUUCAUUGCAAAAGAGGGGGAAAAACUCUGCUGCGGACAAUGCUGGAUGGUCUGAUCUCUCCCUUGGCCAGAAUUAACGGGGCAAUUCCUAACCCCUGUUGGUCCUCAGAAUCACCUGGCCUAUGCACACUCCCGCUAAACCACUGAAGUCCAAUUUCUGGGAGCUCAGCCAGGGAAUGUGUAUUUUUAAACAAGCCCCCUAGGUUACUCUGAUAAGUGCAAAGUCAGAGAGCGCUGCUCUCAUGCACUGAGCCUGAGCACUCUUCUAUUAAUAAAAAAGGAGAGGAGAAUCCUGGGUUGGGUGCCCUUCGCCUUCUGGCGGCAGAAGAGCAGAGCCAGGCUCUAAGCACCUGCACCCACCGCUGGGCUCAGGAGCUGCGCUGGAGAAUAGAAGGGCUAAUUUAGUCAUUCAUGCCUUUUUAGAGCAAAUUACAUGUGGAGAGGGUGGGGCACACUGAAUUUUAUUUUAGCCAAAUGCCCCUUAUCUCCUUAUGCAAUUGAUAUUUUUAUAUUGAACAUUAGAGGAUUGGUCAUUUGUCAUCAAGUCGUCUGUAAUACAGAAAACGAUAAAUACAACCUAACAGUUCAAACAUGACGAGUUAAAUAAAUGAUGGUUAAAAAUAUACGCUGCGAUAAUAUUUAAUUGCUGUUACCACUACGAAGAUAAGUGUCGACUGACAUGGAAAUAUGUUCAGGUCAAACAAAUAAAUGAAAAGGCAGGCCUGGACACAGUGUGA
rnacentral:lncRNA from 1 species